UGUGUUUGUGGAAGAAGGACAAUGCCGACGACCAAGGGUGGUUUAGCAGUUGUAGUGGUGGCGGUGUGGUUGUGAUCAUAAAAGAGGAUGAGGUUGAGGGCGUCAUAGAUUGGAAAUAGAGGAAGAUGGUAUAGGGAUUAUCAAUUGAAGAAGAGAGAGAAAAAAUCUCCAUUUUCUCUGAACAUUACCUUUUGCUUUUGAAAAA
rnacentral:lncRNA from 1 species